UACGAAGGGGGCUAGCGUUGUUCGGAAUCACUGGGCGUAAAGCGCACGUAGGCGGAUCUUUAAGUCAGGGGGUGAAAUCCCGAGGCUCAACCUCGGAACUGCCUUUGAUACUGGGGAUCUCGAGUCCGGGAGAGGUGAGUGGAACUGCGAGUGUAGAGGUGAAAUUCGUAGAUAUUCGCAAGAACACCAGUGGCGAAGGCGGCUCACUGGCCCGAUACUGACGCUGAGGCACGAAAGCGUGGGGAGCAAACAGG
rnacentral:rRNA from 1 species